GAUGAACGCUGGCGGCGUGCCUAAUACAUGCCAGUCGAGCGAACAGACGAGGAGCUUGCUCCUCUGACGUUAGCGGCGGACGGGUGAGUAACACGUUAAUAACCUACCUAUAAGACUGGGAUAACUUCGGGCAACCGGAGCUACUACCGGAUAAUAUAUUGAACCGCAUGGUUCAUUAGUGAAAGCCGGUUUUGCUGUCACUUAUACAUGGAUUCGCGCCGCAUUAGAUAGUUGGUAAGGUCACGGCUUUCCCAGGCAACCAGGCGUAGCCGAACUGAGAGGGUGAUAGGCGACACGGGAACUGAGACAGGGUCCAGACUCCUGCGGGAGGGAGCAGUAGGGAAUCUUCCGCAGUGGGCGAAAGCCUGACGGAGCAGCGCCGCGUGAGUGAUGAAGGUCUUCGGAUCGUAAAACUCUGUUAUGAGGGAAGAACAAAUGUGUAAGUAACUAUGCACGUCGUGACGGUACCUAAUCAGAAAGCCACGGCUAACUACGUG
rnacentral:rRNA from 1 species